UCCUGGAGUCCUUGAUCUUGUCGUCACUGC
rnacentral:piRNA from 1 species